AACGAACGCUGGCGGCAGGCCUAACACAUGCAAGUCGAGCGAGGACUUCGGUCCUAGCGGCGGACGGGUGAGUAACGCGUGGGAACGUGCCCUUUGCUACGGAAUAGCCCCGGGAAACUGGGAGUAAUACCGUAUGUGCCCUUUGGGGGAAAGAUUUAUCGGCAAAGGAUCGGCCCGCGUUGGAUUAGGUAGUUGGUGGGGUAAUGGCCUACCAAGCCGACGAUCCAUUGCUGGUUUGAGAGGAUGAUCAGCCACACUGGGAAUGAGACAACGCCCAGACUCCUACGGGAAGCAGCAGUGGGGAAUCUUAGACAAUGGGGGAAACCCUGAUCUAGCCAUGCCGCGUGAGCGAUGAAGGCCUUAGGGUUGUAAAGCUCUUUCAGUGGGGAAGAUAAUGACGGUACCCACAGAAGAAGCCCCGGCUAACUCCGUGCCAGCCGCCGCCGUAACAC
rnacentral:rRNA from 1 species